CAAUAAUCUGCUGAAAGCACGAAUUCUUCUAACCAGUCCCCUUCCUUAGCACGCCCCAGAUGCGAACAAUGAAGCCCAUGGAGAACAGCGUGGCAGUUUCUGCAUGGUGAAAAGCUGGCAACAUUUGCUUGAAAACAGGCUGGCAGCACUGUGGGAAGGCACUCAUCCAUUGCCCUGACCCAUCCCUGAGGAACCGAGUUCUGAUGGAUACCAUUACAGCAACACGUGCUCUGACACGACGGGACAUGUGGACACGUGCAGGGAGAUAACCCAGGGCUGGGUCGGGUGACUCUGCUGGGAUCACGGAGGUCCAUCAGUGCUCAGCAGCCCAAUGGGCUCUGCCUGCAUCCUAUGGCUGUGCCUCCUGCUGCUGGCCCUGCCCACUCCACAUGCAGGUAUUGCUGUGCCCAGAGCUAACCUUGCUGAGGGGGCAGAUGGCUCUUCCAUCAUCAAAACCAUUGUGACAGUCUACUACUGUAAAGACUGUGGGGAAGAAAAAUGCAAACUAUCCGAUUACGCAGACUUUGAAAUAAUCGUCAAAACAGAAAAUGAGAUGUUUUCAAAUGAAAGUAUUAACCUGAUGAUCAACGAAACGCACAUUACUAUGUGUUUUCUGCAAGAAAACGUGUAUCGUGAUGGAGCUUAUGCCAUCUUCUGGGAGAAGGAUGAGGGAUUAGGAGAACCGUGUGGCAUCCUGAAGUCUGGAGAUUCCCUUGAAGAUAGGAGACACAACAUGGCAGAGAAGGGAAGAGUCUGCUGUGAAACACAGACAGAUCAUACAAACCCUCACAAUAUCCUCAAGUGCUACAUUGGAGAGACAGGUAAUCAUCAAUAUUCAGUCGGUGAAAACAACCAAGCUGGUCUCACUGCCAUGUUCCUGAUUCUGGGGAUUUGUGCAGGAGGAGGACUACUGACCACAUAUUAUUGCAAGAGGCGGUUCCAGAGACGUCAAGGACAUAUCGUAGUGCUCCAGCAGACUUCUCCAGUGAAUGGGGAGACACAGCUGUCUUGA
rnacentral:lncRNA from 1 species